UACAGUCAUCUGUAUGCUGGGCAUCAGCACUGCUUUAACUGGAUAUUCCGAGGUAAGCACAAAACCUGUUCUUGUAGCUAUAGGCAUAUAGAAAUUCGUACAUAGGGUGUAGACUAUUCUUAAGGAGUGGUCAGAAUUUUGGAUCAUUCUGUUUAUAUUCUAUUGUCUUUGUGUAUGUGACAUGUAUUAUCGGAAAAUAAUGCCAUUGAGGCGUUUUGGACACAUCAGAAUUUUGACUAAGGAUCACAUGAUUAUUUUCCCCUUAUACAAAUACACACCUCAAGACUAGAUUUAGUUUUAGUGCUGGUAUUUGUGUUAUACUCAUGAUCAUGCUUUCAAUCUCUAUUCUGGUGUGUGGUGUCCUCUGUGCCUUAUUCCCUGUAUUGUGGGUUUGCCUACCAGUGUGUAGGGCAACACUGCCCAAUAAGUAGAUCUCUAGAUGUUGUAGAACUACAACUCAUGUGAUGCUUUGUCAUUCUAAAAGGCAUGCAAAGCAUCAUGGGAGUUGUAGUUCUACCAUAUCUGUAUAACUGCCGAUUGGGCAACCCAGAUGUCUGAGAUUUUGCUCUCAGCAGCUGCUAUGCAUUAAUUCAUGUUUAAGAUUAAAGGAGCCCGAGUACUAUCACUAACCACAGCUAUUACACUAAAUGUUCUAAAUAUAUAUAUAUUCAGCCUCUGCCAGGCUCUCACAGAUCUUAUGAAAGACCCUCCAUCUACUUAUGAUUUAGGGAUGGACACAUCCCCAGUUAAGGUAACGGUGUCCUAUUGAUAUUAACCUUUUAUAUACUAAAUCCCACACUGUUAGUAUCAUGUAUCCAACAUAUAUCUGGUUUCUUGCACCAAUAAAUACCCGCCAGGUUAUUUUACAAUUGCUUUUGCAAAUACUUCACACAAUACUGUAUCUGGUGCUUUUAUUUGAUUUUGAUGUACCAACCAUUGCCUGUUAGUGGUUUAUGAACCAAAGUUUCAUCCCUUUGCCCUGCUGUCCUCUACACUUAGUCAGUACCAAAAUUAAAUUAUAGUGUCCACUUUACACCCGGUAGCCAAGCCUUUAGGACAAAGGGUUGCUUAAGUUAUAACAUUUGUUCCGCAGUUGUACUGUACGGAUAAUACAUUUCUGUAACACGUGUCCAGUGCAGUGAAAUCACUGUAAAAGAAUCAAUAUAGAGUCAUAGUCAGGGGAAAAGGGAGUAAAAGAGAAACAGAUGUAUGUUCACCCUAGACUUACAGUGGAGAGUAGUGAUGUCCCGAAAGGUUCGCCGCGGACUCAUCAUUGAAAGCAUCCAUUUUGAAGCUGCAUUCUUAGUGAGCUGUCCAGGAGCUGGGAGGGUCUGGGAGGGAGGGUCUGCUGCUGAUUGGCUGGAAUGUGUCUGCUGACUGUGAGGUACAGGGUCAAAGUUUACUCAAUGAUGAGUCCGCGGCGAACCGUUCGGGACAUCACUAGUGGAGAGUCUUUAAUAAUAGGGCAGUUUCUUCUAGUAACUGUGAUAUCCUUAACUACAGACAUUCCAAAAAUACAGCUCUACAACAAAUCUACUCACAUAAUGUGUAAAAUAUCCGCAGGAUACCUGUGGAAGGAAGGGGGUUAUUUCAUGGUGAAGAAGCGGUCACCUAUAUCUGAUUUUGCAGCAAGGUAUACAUUUCAACUAACAGUGCUUCUCUGAUCAUUUUCAGGUGUUAUUCUGCUGUGAUCAAGGUUGGCUGCUCCGUGUGGCUCAUAUUCUUGUAGGCACUACAUGUAUCUCAAUCACUGCUUGUACUAUUGUACUGUCAGAAAGCAAACUGAUCCACUUUAUCCGUAGCCAUUUCCUGGCUGGCCGUUCCAAAAAGGGUGUUUAAUAAGGGUGGAAACUGGACAAUGCCGUGUUAUACUGGGUGUGUUUACCGAGCUAUCUCUCCUGUGGAUGUAAGAAUGUGCCAAGUGAACUGAACUCAAGAACUAAAAAUCACCACGUGUCAUUGUUCUUCCUUACUUGGGGUCAGCAAACUCUAACUUUGCAUACAGUGAUGAUAAAACAGAGUGUAACAGAAACAACUGAUACAGUAGGUUGUCAGAUCCUUGCCUACAGACACAGUGCAUCAUAAGAUACAGACUAUCCACGAUUACAGUGGAUCAAAACAGCUGAAAGACAUUGACUAUAUUGUAGAUAUUAUGGUGAAAGUUUUUGAGGGUGAAUUUUAAGGGGGAAGGGUUGAAAUCCAUUUGUGAGUUUUUUUAAAUAUGUGAACAAUGCGGGUUAGAAGCGUGUGGCUGAGGUGGACAGCCUUCAUUCAUAAGUAGAACAAUGCGGGUUAGAACAGUGUGGCUGAUGAGAUGGGUCCACAAAGAAAUUUUAAAGAUCUCAUUUGGGUGUCAGGAAGGUGAGUAGAAAAAGCUCUCUUCAGUACUCAAGACAAUAGAUGGUGACAGAGUGAAUGUGUAUGCUAUCUUGGGUGAGAGAGUGACAUGUUAAAGUGGCUCUGUCACCUUCUGGGGUCUUUGUACAUUUUGCAAAGACCCCCGAUGGUGACAUCGAUGCUCAGGCUGUGGUGGCCCAUGGGUGCAGCCAUGGUGAGUUGUCUUCUUUCUCCAAGUCCUAGAGCUUCAGAAUUAUGAGAUCUUUUGACUGUGUUGGAAUUUCAAUAUGUUUACAUUGUAGUUACAUUCAUUUUACUUAGGGAUACUAAAAUUUUGUAUUAACUGAAUUUCUCCUACUUUAAUGGCAAUUACAUUGUUUGGGGUUAAUUUGCUGGUGGUGUUCUGUACGACUCAGUGCACUCUUUAGUCCAAAUCAUUGGUCAUUGAAAUAGAGCAAUUCCAAACCACACGUUCUUCAUUGGGGAGACUUGAAUAAUUCAACAUUAGUAUGAGACAAAAUUGCUGACAUUUAUCUUUAUGGUAAUUACAUAGUUUGGCUUAAUAUUUGUUGAUAUUGUACUAUAUAACUGAAUGCAGUCUUUCUAAUUUAAAGGACAACUAUAGUGCCAGGAAAACACUCGUGCUGCCCCCACCCUCAGGGUCCCCCUCCCGCCGGGCUCUGGGGGAAGGAAGGGGUUAAACUUACCUCUUUCUCCAGCGCCGGGCGGGGAGCUCUCCUCUUUCUCUCCGCCUCCUUUCCUCCUCUUUGGCUGAAUGCGCAUGCGCACCAGGAGCUGCGCGCGCAUUAAGUCAGUCCAUAGGAAAGCAUUCACAAUGCUUUCCUAUGGACGCUGGCGUCGUCUCACUGUGAAAAUCACAGUGAGAAGCGCGGAAGCCCUCUAGCGGCUAUCAAUGAGACAGCCACUAGAAGCUGGAUUAACCCUAACAUCAACAUAGCAAUUUCUCUGAAACUACGUUUAUAGAAAAAAGGGUUAAACCUAGCUGGACCUGGCACCCAGACCACCUCAUUAAGCUGAAGUGGUCUGGGUGCCUAUAGUGGUCCUUUAAUGGUACAUUCCUGGGCCUCUAAAAUAGAGGAAACCCAGUUACAUGUAAAGGACAACUGUCAUCAAACUUUGACUUUUUCCCCGAAGUUUAUUACAUUUAAUGAAACUUAAUGAUCUGUUUUAAUGAUUUUUAUUGAAUUUUGUGAGAAAUGCUGCUUUUUUUAAUCUAGUUGAGCGGCCGUUUUGGUUCAGAUUAUACAAUUCUCUACCCAACUGCUGCUAAACCUAGCAGCUGUUUUCUGUAUAAAUCCUUGUCUGUGGGGGCAGCUAUAGCUAAGUUCUCUUGUCAGAAAUAAUGCUUAUCUGACCAAAAACCAUGCAUACAAUUAGGAAUAGAAAGGAAGCAGGAAAUCAGUAUCUUAUGGAGCUUGAAAUACGCUCCAGUUAGAUUUGUAAAAAUAAUAUAUAUACAUAUACACACACAUAUAUAUAUUUUUUUUUUUUUAAAUAUUCCUCACUUGAUGAUGAGCUAGCCUUGGGCAACCAAAAGUAAUUUUAUUAUUGGUGGCUGUGCUACCAAGCAAAAUGUGCACUGUAAUGAUUUGAAUUUAAAUAUGAAGAAUCAUCAUUUGAAUUGUUCUAAAUGGUCUCAAU
rnacentral:lncRNA from 1 species